rnacentral:misc_RNA from 1 species
GAUGAAGAACGUGGCGAAAUGCGAUAAGUAAUGUGAAUUGCAGAAUUCAGUGAAUCAUCGAAUCUUUGAACGCACAUUGCGCCCGCCAGUAUUCUGGCGGGCAUGCCUGUUCGAGCGUCAUUUCAACCAUCAAGCCCCAGGCUUGUGUUGGAGCCCUGCGGCUGCCGCAGCCUCCCAAAACCAGUGGCGGGCUCGCUAUCACACCGAGUGCAGUAGUUUACUCUUCGCUCAGGGCGUGUGGCGGGUGCUAGCCGUAAAACCCCCAACUUCUCAAGGUUGACCUCGGAUCAGGUAGGAAUACCCGCUGAACUUAAGCAUAUCAAUAAGCGAGGA